rnacentral:lncRNA from 1 species
CGCGCCCGCGCCCCUCCCGGUGCCCCAGAAGUGCUCGCCUUCCCCCUGGGGCCGGCGCCCCGCGCGCCCCGGGACCCCCAGCGCCUCCCGCGCCCUCCCGCGCCCCCACCCGCACGGUCCCGCGUUCUGCCCCCUGGCCCCGCCGCCCCCCGCACCUACCGGGCGGGGCCCGCGCUCCCCAGCAGGUGGCCCCGGGCCACGCGGCGUCCAGCGGGGCCGAGACGGAGGGAAGGCGGCUCAAACCCUCGGCCUCGCUUGUGCAAACAGUGUCCCUGCGCGCCCGCCCGCGCUGCCCCACCCGCGGCCCGCGUGCCCCAGCGGCUGACUGGGUGCUCGCGGCCCCACCCGGGCCCCUGGACGCGCUCCAGGCCCAGGCGUCGGCGCGGCCUGCUGCCCCAGGGGACCCCCAGCCCGGGCACCCGGCCCCGAGCUGCCGCGUGUGGGGGCCAGGCCGCCGCCCCCCACCUGCAGCCCGCCGAGGCCGCCGCGCCCUCUCGGCCGCGGGACGCAGUGGUGUCAGCGGCCCGGGCCUGCUCCGCCGCGGGGCUCAAGGGCUCCUGCAAGCCCGGGCCUGCGGAGGCGGGAGGCCUCGGUCACACGGACAGCCCCAGCAGGCCGAGUCAGCUCACCUCCCGGGUCGCCUCCCGACUCCCGGAGCUUACUCUACCCGCCCCGCCCCCGUUUGUUGACAUUAAAGUCAUUUAUCAGACACUCGGGCACUUGUCAGCACAGGCCACAAAGCUUUGUAGGGCAGAAUCAAGGAGGCGAAAGGCUGGAAAGAUGCAGGCUGCAAACAACAGACACGGGGGAAAAAUGAAAGAACUCUGGAGAAAGGAAAGAAGUGCCACACAGUGGAAAAAAGUGGAAAACACAAGACUGGUCCAAAUCCCUGGGCCUUUUGAGAUGAAAAACAGGACAAGCACUAGGAUUUUCUUAUUCCAGUGCUAUCGAAAACAAAGGGGUUAUCUGUGGAGAGGAAACUCUGAUGGAAUAUUUGGAGAACCCAAAGAAACAUAUCCCUGGUCUUUGCUGGUCUUAAAAAGUGGAGUGAAAGAGAAGAUCCUACUCUAUAUUUGA